UGGGUUGUAGCUCAGUGGUGGAGCGCUUACCUAGCAUGUGUGAGGUGCUAAGUUCCAUCCUCAGCACCACAU
rnacentral:tRNA from 1 species